GAUGAACGCUGACAGAAUGCUUAACACAUGCAAGUCGAUUCGAUUUACCUUCGGGUAUUGAGGAUGGCGGACGGGUGAGUAACGCGUAAGGAACUUGCCUCUUGGUCUGGGACAACUGUUGGAAACGACAGCUAAUACCGGAUAUUAUGAGAUUCUCGCAUGGGAAACUUAUGAAAGCUAUAUGCGCCAAGAGAGAGCCUUGCGUUCCAUUAGCUAGUUGGUGGGGUAACGGCCCACCAAGGCGACGAUGGAUAGCCGGCCUGAGAGGGUGAACGGCCACAAGGGGACUGAGACACGGCCCUUACUCCUACGGGAGGCAGCAGUGGGGAAUAUUGGACAAUGGGCCACAAGCCUGAUCCAGCAAUUCUGUGUGCACGAUGAAGGUCUUCGGAUUGUAAAGUGCUUUCAGUUGGGAAGAAGAAAGUGACGGUACCAACAGAAGAAGCGACGGCUAAAUACGUGCCAGCAGCCGCGGUAAUACGUAUGUCGCAAGCGUUAUCCGGAUUUAUUGGGCGUAAAGCGCGUCUAGGCGGAAAAAUAAGUCUGAUGUUAAAAUGCGGGGCUCAACUCCGUAUUGCGUUGGAAACUGUUUUUCUAGAGUACUGGAGAGGUGGGCGGAACUACAAGUGUAGAGGUGAAAUUCGUAGAUAUUUGUAGGAAUGCCGAUGGAGAAGUCAGCUCACUGGNCAGAUACUGACGCUAAAGCGCGAAAGCNUGGGGAGCAAACAGGAUUAGAUACCCUGGUAGUCCACGCCGUAAACGAUGAUCACUAG
rnacentral:rRNA from 1 species